rnacentral:rRNA from 1 species
GCUAGUAAGAUCCCUGAAAGAUGAUCAGGUUGAUAGGUCAGAGGUGGAAGCGUGGCGACAUGUGUAGCUGACUGAUACUAAUCGAUCGAGGACUUAACCAAA